rnacentral:lncRNA from 1 species
AUGAACAGGUCAGACUCGCCAGUCCAAGCUCCUUUUUCCCUGGCAAACAGAGGCCGUUUCCAGCAGGUAAUUUCCAGGAGUUGUGGAAGGCAGGCAGGGCUCCACCAGCACCUAGGCUGGGUGGCCGAGCGGCGCGUUGCCAGCGGCCAGCCGGGACCAUCCGUCUGGCAGUUGCUAAGAGACAGCACAUGCCAACGUGGGUUGAACGGGAGCCAGCUGAAACGACAGGGCUGCAGGAUGGAACGGCUCACACCCGGAAUACCAACUCCUGGCAUCCUUUUUCUGAGCUCCCCACUGGCCCCUGAGCGUGGAGACUCGUUCACGGACUGUGAAUCCAGCAGGAAGGAACACAUUGCGCAUUGCCACUUCUCCUUUGUGUUUGCCAAGGAGCCAGGGCUAGUCGGAUGGCAGAGCAAGGCCUCCAGACGAAAACAUCACAUUCAGCUCCCCAAGAGCUCUCCAAGAGACUGCUGGGAAACAGUCAGGCAGCUCAGAGAGACUUCACAAAAAAUCGAGUUCUUCAGACUUCAGUCUCAAGAAUAA